rnacentral:rRNA from 1 species
UACGUAGGGUGCAAGCGUUGUCCGGAAUUAUUGGGCGUAAAGAGCGUGUAGGCGGCUUCACAGGUCUGCUGUGAAAACUCGAGGCUCAACCUCGAGCUGUCGGUGGAAACCGUGGGGCUAGAGUCCGGAAGAGGAGAGUGGAAUUCCCGGUGUAGCGGUGAAAUGCGCAGAUAUCGGGAAGAACACCCGUGGCGAAGGCGGCUCUCUGGGACGGUACUGACGCUGAGACGCGAAAGCGUGGGGAGCAAACAGGG